ACGCUCGACACCUACGAGGCAGCAGUAGGGAAUCUUCCACAAUGGGCGCAAGCCUGAUGGAGCAACACCGCGUGAGUGAAGAAGGGUUUCGGCUCGUAAAGCUCUGUUGUUGGAGAAGAACGUGCGUAAGAGUAACUGUUCACGCAGUGACGGUAUCCAACCAGAAAGUCACGGCUAACUACGUGCCAGAGCCGCGGUAAUCUGAGCGGGCUGGCAAGGC
rnacentral:rRNA from 1 species